AGAUUGUGCCAUAGAAUUCUCACAAAUUAAAUUUAUCUUCCAAGUUGAGGAAAAAGGACAUAACAAAGAGGAACCAGCAAGAGGGAACACAAGAAUACUGUCAAGAAGCAUUUCUUCAUCUACAGUAGUGUGGCUGGACAAAAUGACAUACCACUUCCAGUAGAAUCCAUGCAGCAUCAACAGUGUAUUCAGCCAAGACUCAGACUGCAUUUCAGAUCCAAACCUGGGAGGGAUGAAGUCUGUUGUUCUCUGAACCUUGACCAGUUGGGGACUCUGUUGUUAAUUACCAUCUACAGAAGAAAGAACAUUCACUGAUGGGAACUGAGUGAUUCACUUCUCUAGUAGUAUAAUGAUAAGCAACUAUAAAACGAUGCCAUUUAGC
ensembl:antisense Gm44188 predicted gene, 44188